GUCAGAGAGAUGCAGUGUUGCUGGGUCUGAAGAAGGCCAUGGGCCACGUAACUUGGGCGGCCUCUGAAAGCUGCAAAUGUUCUGGUUUCUGCUGUUCAGUUUGAUAUUCUGGUGAGCACAGACUCAAGAGGGAACAGAACUGCAGGGCUGCCCUCUUUGAUGCAUAUUAAAGUCACCUCUCUGAAAAGGAACUAGAAAGCGCCAGAAAGUAAUGUGGUCCUUUCCUAGUAAGAUCUGAAUCAUGGGCAAUUAAAAAAAAGGUACCUGGCGCCUGGAUGGCUCAGCGAUUGGGCGUCUGCCUUCGGCUCGUGUCAUGAUCUCGGCAACCUG